ACGGAGAACAUAACGAAAGUUAUGAUAAGACGAGAUAUUAUAUUUAAGAUGCAUCUAUUCAAUAUAACAUGUGUACUAGUCCAGUAUUCCCCCGCGUCUGAUUAGAUAGUUGGGAAGGUAACGCCUGACCAAGGCGAACAUCAGUAGCCGACCUGUGUGGGUGAUCGGCCACAUUUGAACUGCGACACGGUCCAAACUCCUACGGGAGGCAGCAGUGGGGAAUAUUGCACAAUGGGCGAAAGCCUGAUGCAGCAACGCCGCGUGAGUGAUGAAGGCCUUCGGG
rnacentral:rRNA from 1 species